CUACAGAGGGUGCGAGCGUUAAUCGGAUUUACUGGGCGUAAAGGGUGCGUAGGCGGCUUGAUAAGUCGGAUGUGAAAGCCCCGGGCUUAACCUGGGAAUUGCAUUCGAUACUGUCAGGCUAGAGUAUGUCAGAGGUUGGCGGAAUUCCUGGUGUAGCGGUGAAAUGCGUAGAUAUCAGGAGGAACACCAGUGGCGAAGGCGGCUAACUGGGGCAAUACUGACGCUGAGGCACGAAAGCGUGGGGAGCAAACAGGAUUAGAAACCCUAGUAGUCC
rnacentral:rRNA from 1 species